rnacentral:rRNA from 1 species
GAUGAACGCUAGCGGGAGGCUUAAUACAUGCAAGUCGAACGGUAAGGUCUACUUCGGUAGAUACACGAGUGGCGCACGGGUGAGUAACGCGUACGGAUCUGCCCUAUACUAAGGGAUAGCCCUGGGAAACUGGGAUUAAUACCUUAUAGUAACGAGAGUUUAAAGCUACGGCGGUAUAGGAUGAUCGUGCGUUCCAUUAGCUAGUUGGUAAGGUAACGGCUUACCAAGGCGAUGAUGGAUAGGGGGCGUGAGAGCGUGAUCCCCCACACGGGUACUGAGACACGGACCCGACUCCUACGGGAGGCAGCAGUAAGGAAUAUUGGUCAAUGGACGCAAGUCUGAACCAGCCAUCCCGCGUGCAGGAAGAAUGCCCUAUGGGUUGUAAACUGCUUUUAUAUAGGAAGAAAAGCAUUAAUUUAUUAGUGUUUGACGGUACUAUAGGAAUAAGCACCGGCUAACUCCG